AGUACAAAUUGCUUCGUCUGCAUUAAGCCCUAGACGUAAAAUAACGGAAAUGAAAAUGACCAAAAAACAUAACUGACCCAAGAAAUGUAACAAAUAGAGAACUUGCCUUUUCAAGCCUCGUAGCAAUAUUAGGAGGUCUCGUUGAAUCCUAUACAAUCAAUCCUAAGCAAUACGAACCGACCGACUUAAUACAUUAUUACAACGAAAACGGAAGAAAAGACUAUACUCAAGUAGUCGAAGUAACAAAUAAAUUAUUAGAGGAAGCUAGUACCAAAGUUACACCGAUUGUAAACCUCCUGAACUCCCUAUGUAUUGAAGCAGCAUACGGAGGCUGUGACAAAGCUAUGGACUCGGCCAUUAGAUCUAAUUACACAUACUACAUGCCUGCCAGACUCUUUGUACAUCUCGGAAGAAUAUCCAAAAACAUCUUAAAAAAUCAGAUUAUACUAGAUAAAAUGAUAAAUAAUGAUGAAGUUGUAUCUUAUCUAUCAGAGCACGCUAAUGAUAGAGGCAUCAUGAAACUUAUCAAAAAGUUUUCAAAGGCGUAUCUUAUUAUGAAAAGGAUGAAUACGUAUUCGUAGAGGGAUAUCAAUGUUAAUAGCACAAAAAUAAAAUGUUAUAAUUUA